UACGUAGGGUGCAAGCGUUGUCCGGAAUCACUGGGCGUAAAGGGUGCGUAGGCGGGUCUUUAAGUCAGGGGUGAAAUCCUGGAGCUCAACUCCAGAACUGCCUUUGAUACUGAGGAUCUUGAGUUCGGGAGAGGUGAGUGGAACUGCGAGUGUAGAGGUGAAAUUCGUAGAUAUUCGCAAGAACACCAGUGGCGAAGGCGGACUCACUGGCCCGAUACUGACGCUGAGGCACGAAAGCGUGGGGAGCAA
rnacentral:rRNA from 1 species